UACGUAGGGGGCAAGCGUUGUCCGGAUUUAUUGGGCGUAAAGAGCGUGUAGGCGGCCAUACAGGUCCGUUGUGAAAACUGGAGGCUUAACCUCCAGACGUCGAUGGAAACCGUAUGGCUAGAGUCCGGAAGAGGAGAGUGGAAUUCCUGGUGUAGCGGUGAAAUGCGCAGAUAUCAGGAAGAACACCAAUGGCGAAAGCAGCUCUCUGGGACGGUACUGACGCUGAGACGCGAAAGCGUGGGGAGCGAACAGG
rnacentral:rRNA from 1 species